rnacentral:rRNA from 1 species
UACGGGGGGGGCAAGCGUUGUUCGGAAUUACUGGGCGUAAAGGGCUCGUAGGCGGCCAACUAAGUCAGACGUGAAAUCCCUCGGCUUAACCGGGGAACUGCGUCUGAUACUGGAUGGCUAGAGGUUGGGAGAGGGAUGCGGAAUUCCUGGUGUAGCGGUGAAAUGCGCAGAUAUCAGGAAGAACACCCGUGGCGAAGGCGGCUCUCUGGUACGUGACUGACGCUGAGACGCGAAAGCGUGGGGAGCGAACAGG